rnacentral:misc_RNA from 1 species
CGCACCUUGCGCUCCUUGGUAUUCCUCGGAGCAUGCCUGUUUGAGUAUCAUGAAAUCUUCAAAAUAAGUCUUUUGUUAAUUCGAUUGACUUCAUUUUGGACUUGGAGGUCUGCAGAUUCACUUCUGCUCCUCUUAAAUUGAUUAGCUGGAUCUCCGUGAACUCGGUUCCACUCGGCGUGAUAAGUAUCACUCGCUGAGGACACUGUAAAAGGUGGCCGGGGUUGCAGACGAACCGCUUCUAAUAGUCUAUUAACUUAGACAAUUUACUUAUGAUCUGAUCUCAAAUCAGGUAGGACUACCCGCUGAACUUAA